AAUAAAGAGAUUUCUGGAAAAGAGAAACACGUGAUAUGUACACAGUUUUAAAAUGUCAGAUAUGUUUAUCAACCUUACAAAUAAAACAAGAUAAAUAUUAAACAUGAUUAGUCUAUAGGGGACUAUACACGUAUGAUAAACAUUUACGUGGAGUGGGAGUCCUUUCGUGUGCAAAUAAACCGGCCACAUGAAAGAUAAACAGUGCCUUAUCACGGUGUGUGUUGUUGGUUUUUCAAUGUUUUAAAAAGCGACGACAUCAUUAAUAGGAAAAAUAUAUGAAUUAAAAAACAAAUAAUAUAUUUAUAAACUUAUGUGUAAAUUUAAAGACGUUGUGGAGACGUAAGAAAAAUGGAGGUAAUAUUGGAAACAGACGCCUCUCUUUUGGCAAAAGGUAUAAAUGUGAUUGUGUAUUGUAUGCAAUAUGUUAUAAGCAAAACAAAUUCAACAAUUGAUACAUUGUUAAAGGCAUGUGUAUACGGUUUAACAAACCUGAUUUACACAGUGACAGAAAUUUUGACAUUGUAUUCCGAUUCCCUAUCCAAGUAGCUCUCUGGAUAUUGGAUUCGAUUCACACAGUUUUGAACAACACGCAAUAUGUUAUCUUCGAUAUCGUUUUACGCGGCUCAUCAGAAUUUUAAACGCCUUGGUUACUUUUCUAUUAAUUGUUAUCAACAAAGUAAUGACUUCUGUAUUGAUAUUUCUAAAUUGGAUCGUCACAUAUUUAUUAACUAGUAUUCUUAUAUUCGUCCGAAACUUUGAUUACAUCGUCCUACAUUUUGUCUUCCCAGUUAUUGACUGCCUUUUUAGGGUCUGUUAUAUUCCAUUAUUUCCUUUAUUUUGUUUUGUUGUUAUUGUUGGUAUCGAAAUUGCUAUGGGAAAUACUACAUUAGGCAAAUGUACUAAUUUACCGUUACGUUUUAUUCCAAUAGUAUUUUUGAUUUGUGCAUGUAUAUGGAAGGUAGCGUUUCCGUUAAUACAUGGUUUCGUAAAUACUAUUGUGUACUUGAUCAUAAUGUGUUUUAUACUUUAUAUAAUAUUUUACGGUAUUUUAGUUUUUAUAAAAGCAUUCAAAAACUGUAGUGUAAGCAUACGUCUGGCAUAUGAGAAUGUGCCAAAUGAAUGUGUGAUCUGUUUCGAGGAAAAGCCAUUUGUUACUUUAUUUCCAUGUAUGCACAACAACAUGUGCCAUAACUGCAUUCAACAGUUGCGACGACUUGACAAUAGGUGCCCUUUGUGCAGGAGAGCAAUAGUCGACGUCAAAAUCUGAAAAUAAACAUACAUCAGGUUCAUCAUGGAUUUACACAAAACGAAGGCAAUCGUUCUGUUCUGCCUUGCUAUAAGCUGUGUGGUUUGCAAAGAAAACAACGAACCUGAAGAGUUUCCAGAGACAAUAAACACGACCACAACCGAACUUGGUAAUGGAAAGCAGAUCCAGGUCACUGACCCAGAGGGAAAGCUGCUUGCUACCAUUGACAUUUUUGAAAAUGAGGGUUACGAAGUUCAGAAACGAACGGACAGAAAACAAGUGCUUUUUGAGUAAGAUCUCUGACAACGGCACGUGUUUUGACGAGGUGCCCGUGGAGGAUAUUGACUCGAUCCCAGACAACAUUGCAGCCUUCUGCAGAGGGAGGGAGGUCCUAAGUCUGGUGCAAUAAACACGAGGAAAUCUCAAAUGUUCCAACUGAUUCAUCUGCUUUUGGCAUUACUAAGAGAUCCGUGUGGAGCACAUGCGAACGUUGGGUGCAGACUUACCACACAUCAUGCGACUGCUGCUUUCAUAUCUUUUGGAUAUGCUUUGGAAGCUGCUCGUGCAGAACAACCGUAGUGUGGUCUCGCAUUUCCUUGUCUGGCUAUCAUCACCCAUUUUAGUGCUGAUAGCAGCACACAGCUGUUGCAAAAUAUACAUGCAACUGUGAAGAUUUCCAUUAUAACUCAAUAUUCACAGAUACUCUAGUAAUCUUACACUGCUGUCUAAUUAUUAAGAGACAUUCUUAAAAAAACUUUAUAAUAGACUAACAUCAUUUGCUCGUGACGUUCUUUAAUUUAGUUUGCUGUAAUUUUUUAGGCAAUCCAUUUAUUUAUUCUUCUCGUUAAUGGUAUGUAUUUUGUUUUGAGGUACAUUAUUAAUGAUGCUUUUAUAAUAGUAUUCUUAUGUUAUAAAACCUGUGUUAACUAUGAAAUUAAGAAAUGUAUUUUGUUACCGAAAC